rnacentral:rRNA from 1 species
AGUUUGAUCCUGGCUCAGAUUGAACGCUGGCGGCAUGCCUUACACAUGCAAGUCGAACGGCAGCACGGGAGCUUGCUCCUGGUGGCGAGUGGCGAACGGGUGAGUAAUGCAUCGGAACGUAUCCUGGAGUGGGGGAUAACGUAGCGAAAGUUACGCUAAUACCGCUUAUUCUGUGAGCAGGAAAGCGGGGGACCUUCGGGCCUCGCGCUCUUGGAGCGGCCGAUGUCGGAUUAGCUAGUUGGUGAGGUAAAGGCUCACCAAGGCGACGAUCCGUAGCAGGUCUGAGAGGAUGAUCUGCCACACUGGAACUGAGACACGGUCCAGACUCCUACGGAGGCAGCAGUGGGGAAUUUUGGACAAUGGGGGCAACCCUGAUCCAGCCAUGCCGCGUGAGUGAAGAAGGCC